UUGUCCAGUUUGUAAAUUUUCUAUUUCUCAUCUGCAGAGUUGUCUGUCUUUAUCCAAAACCCCUCCAUUGAAGAGAUGUGGAUCAACCAGACCGCUACUCUGGUGUGUAUGAUUGUGGGUGCUGAUCUGAGCCAGGUCCAAAUCCACUGGCAGGUGAACGAGUGGGGGAAAAUCAAAACAAACAUGACCAAAAAACCGAGAGAGGAAAGAACCCGAGGCACAGUGAUCAGCCAACUCCAGACCAGUGUGGAGGAGUGGGCCAGUGGGGUGGAGUACACUUGCUCUGCCCAACAACCUUCUUCAACCUCACCAGUAUCAGCACGGACAAAAAGUACCAAAGUUCCAGUGGAGACAAAAGGUCCCAAAGUCAGACUGCUGCCCCCGCCAGAGGGAGAGACCAAGAGUGGGAACACGGUCACCCUCGAGUGUAUUGCUUCUGGAUUCUACCCAAACCAAAUAACCAUCACCUGGGAGAAAGGGGACUCUCUGAUCUCUUCCAACAUCAGUGUGAGACCAGCUGCUCUGGAACAGGCGGGGACUUUCAUUGCCAGCUACGUCCUGACCGUGAGCACAGAGGAGUGGAAGGAAGGCUCAGUUUUCAGAUGCACAGUGUCUCAUCCCCCCUCCAACACCAGCGUCAGGCUGGAUGUGAAAAACAUUCAAGAAAUCUGCACAGACUUGACAGGGGAGGAGGGGAAGGAAGAACAGGGACGCGUGGAUGGAGAUGACAAUCUGCCUACAGUUGCUGCCUUUGCCAUUCUGUUCAUCAUCAGUUUCCUCUACAGCACCUUCGUCACCGUUGUCAAGGUUCAGCAGUGACCAGCAGACACACGCCCCACACUCAGACAAGAAAUCCCCGUCUGGCUGCGAUGUUUGGAAAUGGAGUCUCCAUCUCACUCACUCGGCAAUCCGAGGCUACUGCACUGCAACUGCUCAUUUCAGAAUAUAAACCUCUAGAUGCUCCUGGGAUGCCAGAUGGAAAAUGGGGGCACGGAGCCGGUUAGGUGGGUGGAGGGACAACAGUGGAUGAUACAUUGGGAAAAUGGCAGGAUAAUGUGACACUGGAGGGGGUAUAAAGGAGGGGAGAGGAAGGCAGCAUUAAGCCUUGGGAAUGGGAAACAGGGGAUGGGAGCUUUAUGAGUGAAGGAGAAGAGGGAGGUGAGGAAAUGGAUAUUAUUGUUAAGGAGCAAGAAAUUGAUGUGGGGGGGUGAUUGUGGUGGAG